CAUCAAUGAUGGGAGAGAAUCACUGAUUGGCUGCCUUGCACGCCUCACACUAGGGAUUGAGCCCGCAACCUGGGCAUGUGCCCUGACCUGGAAUUGAACCAUGACCUACUUACUGGUUCUUAGGUCAAUGUUCAACCACUGAGCCACGCCGGCCAGGCUAACUUAAUAUUUUUGAACAGGUCAAACACGCACAUGAUUCAACACAUGAAUGUGUGUGUGUGUAUGUGAUGACAUGCAAUGUAGAAUCUCCCUCCUCUGGAAGUGGACCAUCCACCCUGUCUCAGUUCAGACCCCCAUCCUCCCUCCGAUUAUCCAGUGUCAUUAGUCUCUUCUGUAUUCCUCUAGAACAGUGGUUCUCAACCUUCUGGCCCUUUAAAUACAGUUCCUCAUGUUGUGACCCAACCAUAAAAUUAUUUUCGUUGCUACUUCGUAACUGUAAUGUUGCUACUGUUAUGAAUCGUAAUGUAAAUAUCUGAUAUGCAGGAUGGUCUUAGGCGAGUGACCCCUGUGAAAGGGUCAUUCGACCGCCAAAGGGGUCGCGAUCCACAGGUUGAGAACCACUGCUCUAGAACGUCUUCACAUACACAAGGCAAAUGCAAAAAUGUACCGCCCUUCCCCCUGCGUACAGAAGGCAGCACUCUCUCUCCUGGUCUUUUCACUUUGUAUCUCUUCGAAAUCUCUCUAUAUUCGCACAAAUACUGCGCCUGCUUCUCUCACAGAUGCGUCCUGGUUCUUUGCAUGGAGACCACCUAUCUGAUGACCCCGUCCUCUGCCGGGCCUCUGGGUGAUUCUUCCCUGUGGCUGUUACAAAGGAGGCGGGUCAGUCAGCUUACGCAUCCACCGCUUUGCACACACGUGAAUACAUCCUGCCCAAAGCGGGGCGGAGUGGAAUUGCUGGGCCCGAGGGCAGAAGCAGUUUCAAAUUCUCAUGGCUGUUUCCAAUGGGCCUCCUUGGAGCUGUGCUGUCCGCACUGCCUCCAGCAACGGACGAGGCUGCUACCAACUCAGCCUCCCCAACAGCCUGCCGUUAGCACACCUGACGCCGCGAAGAAAGCAGCUCUCGGUGCACUUCCAACCCGGAUUUCUCCCACAGUGAGUGAGCCUGGACAUGAACGGCCAAGUCCCAGGUCCACCCCUCUGUGAACUGGCCAAGUCCUCUGCCCCAUUUCCUAGCGGGUUCUUGUGGUUUUAGAAGUAGGUCUCGGUGUGAAUAUUCAUCAGCCGCGUGCACGUGGGCCUUGCCCUCGCUCGGGGACCGGUGGACAUCACUGCGACCACAGCAACAGAGCUGAUCAUGGCAGCCUCAGCAACAGCACCAGUCCUGUAAGUCACUCACUUCCCUGGAGCUGACAAGGAAAGGAAAUGAACCCAAACGACACGGCGGCUCCUCUGGCCCAGAAGAUGAGGGAAGUGUCAGCGCUGACCAGUGAGGGCCCAUCUUCUCGCUCAGCACCCACUCACUGAGCCUGCACGGUGCUGUCCGCAAGGCGGGGGAUCUGGGUGUUAGACGGCACCAAGGGGCGUGCAGAGAAAUGGCGCAGGCGAGGAGACGCUGAGGCGUGGCACCAUUCAACUCCGGACCCAGAUUCAAUUACACGCCCUAGAAUGAGAAGAAAGCAGGCUCCAAUGUGAAAACAGACUCGGUGUGACUCAGGGAAGCAGUGCGCUACCAAGGCCGCCGGGACGAUUACUAACGAUCAGGCCACCCAUAACUGAGCUUGACGCAAGACAGACGGUCUCAUCAGGCUCUCCGAGAAUCAAGAACACCAGGCCCAGUGCCUGGCCAGGCGUAGCCAGGGUGGUGUCCUUUGCCUCCUGGACACAGCAGGCGUGGAUCUGUCACCUUAUCCACGCCACACCUGAGCGCAGUAAGCAGAAGGCACACCUGGACCACAAUCCUACCAGCCGGGCAGGCACGUCACACAGGGUUGUCAGCUGAAUGCACCCUCUCCCCCACCAACAUCUAAUCAGAGCUACUGGCAGCAAAACCACGUCUGGUAUUGUCAAAACUGCCCCGUAGAGAUAAGCUCCAUGACCUGUGCGCACAGCCUGAUAGAACAUGUCUCAUGCAAACUAAAACUUAAGAACCACUAAUGGGAAGUCUCCACAGCUGGCAGCCAUUCCAACCAUUCUGCCUUGUAAGGUAACUGUCUAUGGAGUCCCGGAAGCAACUAGGCAUAGGUGUGGAAUUGUCCAAUGGCCUGCUUGUCUGCUGUUUGAUUUACUUUAUUCCGUUUGUAAUAUUAAGGUUCUCCAAGAGCACAUAAUAGAGCAUACAGAUGGUGUGUUAUAAAGCUGUACACCUGACAUCUGUAUAAUAUUAUU